rnacentral:rRNA from 1 species
UACGGUAGGGUGCAAGCGUUAAUCGGAAUUACGUGGGCGUAAAGCGUGCGCAGGCGGCUUUGCAAGACAGAUGUGAAAUCCCCGGGCUUAACCUGGGAACUGCAUUUGUGACUGCAUGGCUGGAGUGGCGGCAGAGGGGGAUGGAAUUCCGCGUGUAGCAGUGAAAUGCGUAGAUAUGCGGAGGAACACCGAUGGCGAAGGCAAUCCCCUGGGCCGCACUGACGCUCAUGCACGAAAGCGUCGGGGAGCAAACAGGAUAG